CUUUGGUGUAGUUAGCCUAGCUACACAGCAUGGUUUGUAGCCUAGCUACCAUGCUGUGUAGCCUAGCUACACAGCAUGGUUUGUAGCCUAGCUACCAUGCUGUGUAGCCUAGCUACACAGCAUGGUUGUAUAACUAAUGUUAAUGUUGUUGGAGCAAACCCUUUGUGAUGCACGGAAAUAAACAGUUGAAUUCGAUUUUUGUUUUGAUCCGUGUUCAGGGCUGAUAGGAUAGAAUACCGUACACAUGCAGCGUAUGUAACUAGUUUCAAGUAGUAAAAGUCCUUCCAAUUCAGACAUUAUGUGACUUUAUUUCGUUUUCUAGACGUCUGUCAUACUGCAAGUUAAAUGUAAAGGUGCCCAUCCUGCGUUUGUGGUUCAACGUGGAGCUGGAGCAGGACUUCCACAUCAGCAGAAGAGCCAUGCAUGGACUGCAGAGGUGGUUAUUACUUGUCUCCGGGAUGUGUACAAGUAAUUCUUUAACACCUUAAUUUCAGAACAAAUCUUUUGAUGCUACAAUAUCUUCCUUUUUAGGUAAUUCUAACCCUAACCUAACCACCGACCCGAACCACCUGUGUGUAGAGAAUAUAAAUGAUGGAUUACCUUCUGAGGUUUGAGGUGGACGGACUUCGACUGACCCUCUUAACACCGGAACCUAUAGGGACUCUGACACACACACACACACACACACACACACACACACACACACACACACACACACACACACACACACACACACACACACACACACACACACACACACACACACAACCACACAAGUAAUUUAAAGGUAGGUAUACAAGGUCUUUACCGUGGAAGUGUGUACUUUAAAAACUGUGUAGUUUAACGAGGUUAAUACACUACCUGUGUAGUUUAAAAAGAGUUCAUACAGUGUAGUUUAAAGAGGGGUCUAUACCAGUGUAGCUUAGAGAGGUCUUUAGCUGUGUAGUUUAAAGAGAGGUCUUUACCUGUAGUUUAGAUAGGUCUUUACCUGUAGUUUAGAAGUCUUUAUCUGUAGUUUAGAGAGGUCUUUACCUGUAGUUUAGAGAGGACUUUAGCUGUGUAGUUUAGAGAGGUCUUUACCUGUAGUUUAGAGAGGACUUUAGCUGUGUAGUUUAGAGAGGUCUUUGCCUGUAGUCUAGAGAGGUCUUUACCUGUAGUUUAGAGAGGUCUUUACCUGUAGUUUAGAGAGGUCUUCACCUGUAGUUUAGAGAGGUCUUUACCUGUAGUUUAGAGAGGUCUUUACCUGUCGUUUAGAGAGGUCUUUACCUGUAGUUUAGAGAGGUCUUUACCUGUCGUUUAGAGAGGUCUUUACCUGUCGUUUAGAGAGGUCUUUACCUGUCGUUUAGAGAGGUCUUUACCUGUCGUUUAGAGAGGUCUUUACCUGUGUUGCUGAGCUGCUGGUCUGUUGUGGAUCUUCAUUUCUAAAGGCCUGAAAUGAGCCCGACAGACAAAGACAUGGUGAGCUUGAUGCUGAUGUCUUCCUCAUGAGCGCUGAAACCCCACCUAGCCUUGAUGCUACCGAGAAUAACUCUCAGAGUCAGCUAGCUCCAGGCUAACUCUGUGAGUCAGCUAGCUCGAGGCUAACUUCCUGCUAGCUCGUACCGUAGGGCUCCAGGUAGGCGCAGUGUCCGACGGCCUUUUAGAGCUCGUAGUUCGUCUCCCUGGGUAACGAUGGCCGCCGUCUCCCUGAGGUCCUUCGGCAAGACACAAGAAAUACACUUUCAAAUACACAGGAAAUACACUUUCAAAUACACAGGAAAUAUGCUUUCAAAUACACGGGAAAUACACUUUCAAAUACACAGGAAAUACACAUUCAAAUACACAGGAAAUAUACAGAGGAAAUACACAGAAAAUACACAUUUAAAUACAAAGGAAAUAUACAGAGGAAAUACACAGAAAUAAACAUUCAAAUAUACAGAGGAAAUACACAGAAAAUACAUUGGAUAUGUAAUACACAUUGGACAUUGGACAUUGCUCUUUUAUAUUUACAUUUAGCAGACCUUUUCUCCAAAGCAACUUACAACCGUUCGUCCACACAUUCCCCCCACCGGCGGAGUCAACCCCACAGGGCGACAGCCAGCUGGUCAUGAGCAGUCAGGGUGAGGCGUCUCGCUCAGGGAUACCUCGACCCUCAGCUAGGAGGAGCCGGGGAUCCAACUAGCAACCUUCUGGGUCGAACGGGUCGAGCGGGUUGACUCAAGUCAACCCGCUCGACCUCCUGAGCAAGGUGACACCAUUUUGUGUGGAUUGUGUGGAUUGUGUGGAUUGUGCGUAUUGUGUGUUUUGUGUGAAUGGUCAUGUAUACUUCUGUAUUGUGUGUUUGAUCAUGUGUUGUGUGUGCCUACCUCAACUGGCCUGUCCGUCAUGCUGUGGGAGGGGCUUAGCGUAAGGCCAUCCAUACAGGAAAUUAGCCUUGACUCCGCCCUCCCCCCUAGAUCUGCUCUCCCGUCCUGCAAGGCCUUCUGGGAACUCUGCUCCCCUAGCGUCCAGAGAGCUGCCUGUUUC
ensembl:lncRNA